ensembl:lncRNA
GAUAUGUUUAUGCUGGGUGUGUUUGCUAUUAUCUUUACGCUUGGUUUCAGUCUGCAGGGCGUCACGGGUGGGUCAUUCUCAGGGUCAAAGGUCUGCUGCAGACGAACUUGUCACGGUGGCAGAGAGAGGGUGAAUAAGAGGUCUUCUCCCGUGGAUGAUUCUUCUGAGCUGGGUGCCGACAGACGGCUGGUCCUCAGGGUUUUUGUGUGGAUGUGUCUGGCAGAUGUUGUGCUCUUCUGGGGCCGCCGGGUUCUUCCUUCCUCCCGGAUCGUCUGCUGUGACCCGUGACACUCCUCCUAGACCACUGUCACGCGGCCUAAGGAGACAGGCUUGCACUAUGAAUGAGGGAAUAUCCUGCACAGAUACGGCCUGCUUGGGAAAACCGAGCAAGCGAUGCAGUUCAGGUGGGAAGGAAGGGAGGUCCGUUUUUGGAAGGCCUUGGCAGAUCCUCCCGAUCGGAUGGAGCAUAUUCGGUUCACGUGCGGCGACUGAAUGCCUUCCAAUGUUUGCAGACACUGAUGGAUGAGAACAUAACGACGUGCCGACGGACAGACCACAUCUCUGAGAAAAAACUGUGAAUAUGGCAAUUCAUCUUGAAACUGGAAGGCCUGGAAGCGGUUGGAGCUGCAGUGUUGGGCGUCUGAAACGCACAAAUGUUUGGUUUCUGUUUACAUUUGAGUUUUUCUGCGUUUCUGCUCACUGCCGUUUCAUCUGUGAGAGCAGUUUUCUGUUUUAUUUAAGAGCUUAUAAGAUUACAGUUCCGCUCGGUUUCUGCUUUUUCUCAAGGAUAUUGCGACGGGCAACAGUGAUGAUGGUUUUAUGACCGAAUUUAGUGAGGUUUAUGCAUGAAGCAUGACAGGUUGUAAGAUACUGUACAUUCUGUAAAAACAAGAUUUAAUAUUAAAUGCAAUUUGCUUUCUCGGGUAAAUGUAGGCCUGUCAUGUGGUGAAUAAGAACAAAAUACAGUAUGCUUAUAUGUUUUAAAAAAUAUUUGUAUUUUAGUUGUAGCUGGUUAGUUGAACAGUUACAUGUAAAGAGCCACUGGUUUAAAAAAAAAAAAAAAACACUAUAAUUUAAAUGUAUAUUUACUGUUCAAAAGAUUUUUGUUGGAAAAUGCUCACCAAAGCUGCAUUUAUUUUUACAAAAAUACAUUAAAAAUGUAAAUAUUAUUACAGUUUAAAAUAGCUGUUUUCUAUGUGUAUAACUGUUAAAAUAUAAUUUAUUGUUGUGAUACAAUCUGAAUUUUCAGCAUCAUUUCUCCAGUCUUUAGAAAUCACGAUCCUUUAGAAAUCAUUCUAAUAUGCUGAAUUGCUGCAUUUCUGAUUAUUAUCAAUGUUGGAUAUAGUUCAUAUUUUGUAGAAACCAUGACACAUUUUAUUUUUCGGGAUUCUUUGAUGAAUACAAAGUUCAAAAGAACAGUGUUUAUUGAAAAGAGAAAUAUUUUGUAAUGUUAUGAAUGUCUUUACUGUCACUAUUGAUCAAUUUAAUGUAUACUUUAUGGAGUAUUACCUUCUUCUCUAAACCGUGACCCUGAAAACAACAUGUGACCUAUGACCCUUGGACAGUUGAAUAUAUUGGGCCAUCAGGGUUCAAGUUCUUAUCAUCUGAAACAAAACUUCAUUUUAAACUUGCAGAAAAAUCUUCAUGAACUCCUGGCAGCUUGGCGGCACGUCCGGUUGAUUUACACUGAUUAUGACAGUAAAUAUGCUGCGCACAAUCAGCAGAGCAAAGCUGUAAUGUAUGUGUGUAUGUACUCAUGAAUCACGGCUGUUGAUUUGGGUGUAAUGACGCCGCAUCAGAGAUGAGUCUGACAGAGAUGGAGACGCCGAGACCUUAUUUACACCAACUGCACGAAUCAUUAAAUGUUCACCGAUUCGUCUCUGAGCUAUUGUAUGAAUCAUUCCUCAUCAGAGAUUUCAGUGAAGAAAAAACACGAUGAUUCAUGUGAACUGAGCAGCGCUUGUCACUGCCAUCGCUUCAGUUUAUUUCUGUUGCUACCGAUGCCGGGCAAUUUGGAUGCAUUUCUGUUUGGAACUAAUUAUGAACAUUACAGAUGGCCUGUAAUGGUUUUUCCAGAAUCUGCUGCGUGCGUUUGCCAGCAAACAGUUUAAUGUGCUAUUGUUUUCUUUGGGCUGCAAACAGCAGAACUCUAGCAGCGUAAUGUUUGAAGAACACACUGCUGUCAUUAAAGCAAGAGAAACAUCAUCAAGUUAAUAAAAAAGUAUAAUUAAAAAUGUUAACUGGUAUG